rnacentral:rRNA from 1 species
AGAGUUUGAUCAUGGCUCAGAUUGAACGCUGGCGGCAGGCCUAACACAUGCAAGUCGAGCGGUAGCACGGGAGAGCUUGCUCUCUGGGUGACGAGCGGCGGACGGGUGAGUAAUGUCUGGGAAACUGCCUGAUGGAGGGGGAUAACUACUGGAAACGGUAGCUAAUACCGCAUAACGUCUUCGGACCAAAGUGGGGGACCUUCGGGCCUCACGCCAUCAGAUGUGCCCAGAUGGGAUUAGCUAGUAGGUGGGGUAAUGGCUCACCUAGGCGACGAUCCCUAGCUGGUCUGAGAGGAUGACCAGCCACACUGGAACUGAGACACGGUCCAGACUCCUACGGGAGGCAGCAGUGGGGAAUAUUGCACAAUGGGCGCAAGCCUGAUGCAGCCAUGCCGCGUGUGUGAAGAAGGCCUUCGGGUUGUAAAGCACUUUCAGCGAGGAGGAAGGGNCAUUGACGUUACUCGCAGAAGAAGCACCGGCUAACUCCGUGCCAGCAGCCGCGGUAAUACGGAGGGUGCAAGCGUUAAUCGGAAUUACUGGGCGUAAAGCGCACGCAGGCGGUUUGUUAAGUCAGAUGUGAAAUCCCCGCGCUUAACGUGGGAACUGCAUUUGAAACUGGCAAGCUAGAGUCUCGUAGAGGGGGGUAGAAUUCCAGGUGUAGCGGUGAAAUGCGUAGAGAUCUGGAGGAAUACCGGUGGCGAAGGCGGCCCCCUGGACGAAGACUGACGCUCAGGUGCGAAAGCGUGGGGAGCAAACAGGAUUAGAUACCCUGGUAGUCCACGCUGUAAACGAUGUCGAUUUGGAGGUUGUGCCCUUGAGGCGUGGCUUCCGGAGCUAACGCGUUAAAUCGACCGCCUGGGGAGUACGGCCGCAAGGUUAAAACUCAAAUGAAUUGACGGGGGCCCGCACAAGCGGUGGAGCAUGUGGUUUAAUUCGAUGCAACGCGAAGAACCUUACCUACUCUUGACAUCCAGAGAACUUUCCAGAGAUGGAUUGGUGCCUUCGGGAACUCUGAGACAGGUGCUGCAUGGCUGUCGUCAGCUCGUGUUGUGAAAUGUUGGGUUAAGUCCCGCAACGAGCGCAACCCUUAUCCUUUGUUGCCAGCGAUUCGGUCGGGAACUCAAAGGAGACUGCCGGUGAUAAACCGGAGGAAGGUGGGGAUGACGUCAAGUCAUCAUGGCCCUUACGAGUAGGGCUACACACGUGCUACAAUGGCGUAUACAAAGAGAAGCGAGCUCGCGAGAGUAAGCGGACCUCAUAAAGUACGUCGUAGUCCGGAUUGGAGUCUGCAACUCGACUCCAUGAAGUCGGAAUCGCUAGUAAUCGUAGAUCAGAAUGCUACGGUGAAUACGUUCCCGGGCCUUGUACACACCGCCCGUCACACCAUGGGAGUGGGUUGCAAAAGAAGUAGGUAGCUUAACCUUCGGGAGGGCGCUUACCACUUUGUGAUUCAUGACUGGGGUGAAGUCGUAACAAGGUAACCGUAGGGGAACCUGCGGUUGGAUCACCU